AAAAUAAAAUCUAAAUACAUCAAAAUGCAUGUUUAAAUCACCAAAACUGGAAAAGUUGUACGAACCUAUCCUCACACAUGCUCAGACUAGUGCCAACACCCAAUGGUGUUCCUACGUUACUAUGAUGGUCAGUGGGUGUGUGAGAGGUGGGUGAUUGAAUGAUGCCGAUCACCUGUUUGAUGAAAUGACCCACUUAGGACUCGGGAGUUCUUGUUAAUUUAUUUGAUUGUCAUACGUUUUGAUCAAAGAGAGCUGAAUACUUCUUGUGAAUUCCUAUAGCAAGAAGAAAACAGCAUUAGGUGUAUAUAGAGGUGGACUUGUGUAGCACUUCGAUUGAGGUCAUCAGUGAUUGUGGAGGUUUUAUGACCUCUAAAAUCCAUCCUGGAAUGAGACUCUAGGUCCACUAAAUUAGUGGUCUAUAUUUUGCUUGUUAUUUUCAGUUGUCAUUUUGUGAGCUUCCAGAAUGAAUGAAGCCAGUUGAUGGCAUAUGAACCUUUUAAAAGAAAAAAAAAACUUGUUCUGAUCAAAUGAACACCAGAGAAAAUAUUCUCUGUUUGGUAUAACAAUCAAAAAGAAAAUUAGCUUUAGAUUCUGAAGGAUAAAAAUGUUGCUGCUGUGGAACUUGUGUCCAACUGUUCAAUCUCUUGCCGUGCAUCGAAAUCGUAGUAAUCAAUCAUGGAUUACGAGAUCAUCGGCUGUAAAGGGAGGCAGAGUUGUUCCACGGAUUAGUCGAUCAGCUUUUGAGACUCGGCUCUCCCUUGUUCUUGCUCUAGCUUCCCAGGCCUCUUCACUCUCCCAAAGAUUUUUGGGGGAUUUGACUGAGGAAACUGCAAAAUAUGUCUUGCCACGCAGACCGGAUGCACGAACACUAGAGGAAGCCCUGAUGUUAGUUCCGGAUCUUGAAACUAUCAGAUAUCGGGUAUUAAAGAGAACAGAUGCAUAUGAGGUCAGGGAAGUCGAGUCUUACUAUAUAGCCGAGACGAUUAUGCCUGGAAACACUGGGUUUGAUUUCAAUGGAGCUUCUCGGGGGUUUAAUGUCUUGGCUGAAUACCUGUUUGGUAAGAACACAACCGCUGAACAAAUGGAAAUGACCACUCCUGUUAUUACGAGGAAGGUUCAGUCGGAUGGAGAGAAAAUGGAUAUGACGACCCCUGUAAUAACAAAACAGUCAGGUGAUAAUUGGACAAUGUCAUUUGUCAUGCCCUCAAAAUAUGGUGCUAACUUGCCGCUGCCAAAAGAUCCCUCUGUAAGGAUCAAAGAAGUUCCUCAUAAGAUUGUUGCUAUUACUGCUUUUUCAGGCUUUGUGACAGAUGAAGAUGUGAAACGAAGGGAAGCUAAAUUACGUGUUGCACUCGUAAGUGAUUCACAAUUUCAAGUAAAACAAAAUGCAUCUGUUGAAGUUGCACAGUUUAAUCCUCCAUUUACUCUUCCUUUCACACGCCGCAAUGAAAUAGCUUUGGAAGUAGAAGAGAAAGCUUAGUACAAAUUUGAUGUUGUACUCAACUGGCACCCUCUUCAGAUGUUGGGAUGUCCAUUCAGGCCCCUUUUCUUAUUUGAAACAGAGUAUUUUCUCGCAAGGCAUAAUCAAUCUAGAAACACUUUGGUGAGUUAUGUACUAGCGUUUGGAGGUAUGAUUUUGCUGUUAUUCAAUUCUUAUUAAAGAAUGAUCAACAGAAGGAACUCUAGGAAAUGUAUAAAUGUGGGAUCCUCCUCUUCGGCAGUGUUUAGAUUGGGGACUUAUUUAAUUUAUACCUGAGAUUAAUUGAUAUAAUCAUUUGGGUU